GGAGGUUCGUGUUUGAUUUCUGUUAUAUUUUUCUUUGGCUUUAGACUUUGUUUUCAGGAUUUGAUUUUUUUGUUGUUGGAUUAUACGCGCUUCUUGAUUUUGACUGCUCUUGGUGAAAUCUCGAGUGGAGACCUCGUUCGGCCUUCUCUGCGGGGGCUGUCUGGUAAUGGGGAAUGUGCUGGUAUGGAAGACUGACUGAUAGCCACGUCAAAUUGUGUUUUGAGAAUAGUUAUGUACUCUUGAUUGUAUGUUUUGGUAAAAAAAUUAGUUAUUUGGAA